rnacentral:lncRNA from 1 species
GAUUUUAGAGCCUAGAGAGAUUGGAACCUACAGAUUUCUGAGAGUUAGGAAACACAGAAAAACCAAACUGGACAUCCUGAAGAAUGAAAAAAUAUAUAGAAAGAAAUACAGAAGUUUAGAAUCAAUUAUUUCCUUCUGAAAAUCCAAUAAAAAAUGUUGAAAGUUGUUUGAAUUGGUUCGGGUUUCCUGUUUAGUUCUCCAAAUCAUUCUCUCAAUUUAGAAUUUCUGAAAAAACCUCUAAAAUUGAGAUUUUGGUGAGGGAAAUGGUUUAAGUUUGGUUUAGAGUCUGUUUUUUGGGAUCCGUCUACUAUUCUAUUAGUUUUACUAAGGUGAACCCUGUUUGAUUGAUCAAAUUUGGGUUGUUUGUUGUUGCUUACUGCUGAUCUUCUCACUUCUCUCUUACUUUGUUUUCCAGGUAUUCUUCUUAGCCCAAUGAACAAUGACUAAGGUUGAAUGUGUAAUUCAAUGGGUUUGAUAGAAUACAAGCUAUAGACAAUUCACUUUUUUUCUUUUCUCUAUUUAUUUUUUAUGUUUCAGAUCGUAUAUUAGUUUGCAAUGAUAGGUUUAAAUAAAUCGUUGCUUGCAUAUUAUAAGGCUGGAUUUGUGUUUGCAGUUCAUUGUUUAAUUUCAAUAUUAAAUAGCGUGAUCAGAGGGUGUGCAAGUAGGUUUUGUAGAUGUUUUAUGACAAGUGAACUAUAGACUUAAACUAUUCAGCCUCGUGUUUGAUUUUGUAUUCUGGGUCACAGGUUUUGUUUAGUUUCUGUUGAGGAUUAGCGGGUUUUAGUCCUGGCGUUUGAAGUGCUAGGUGUUGGCUUGUAUGUGCAUUAAUUUAUACAAAUUUUUUUUUUAUAUAAGCAUGAUUAUUAUGAGCAUUAAGUUUAAGAUUCAUGUUUGCUCACUAGGA